GUGUUUUUCUAAUAUACAGUAAUAUAAUUUUAAAAUACAGUAAUAUAAUUUAUGUUUUUUAUUAUUUUUUUUAUUGCUUUUUUUUUAGUUACAUAGGUUGUUGUACGUAAAGCAGAACUGAUUUGAUAACUGUUAUUUUUAUUGACUGUUGACAAUUUCAAGAUAUUUUUUUUUUUUUUGAUUAUUUAACUUUUUUGUUAUCUUUAGGCCAAUUUGCACAGACUACAGCUGUAUCUACCUCUUGUACUACACCUGUAUCUACCUCUUGUGCUACACCUGGGUGUUAUAACAUCAUAACCACAUCUACGGCCAACUCUAAGAUCACCUUAUUUUGUUUGGCAGUGUUCUGGAAUCAAGUUAUGGCAAUAUUUUAUGUAUAAAAUCUAACAAUUACAUUAAAAAAGUGCUUAUUUUUGACAAAAACUUGUAUUUUCUUAAGGGUUAGAUGGUGUUUCAUUACCCCCUCUGGCUCCCAAGAUACACCCUAC